rnacentral:tRNA from 1 species
GUGGAUGUAGCUCAGUCGGUAGAGCAAUGGAUUGUGGUUCCAUGGGUCGAGGGUUCAAAUCCCUUCAUUCACCCCA